rnacentral:rRNA from 1 species
GAUGAACGCUGGCGGCGUGCCUAAUACAUGCAAGUCGAGCGAAUGGAUUAAGAGCUUGCUCUUAUGAAGUUAGCGGCGGACGGGUGAGUAACACGUGGGUCACCUGCCCAUAAGACUGGGAUAACUCCGGGAAACCGGGGCUAAUACCGGAUAACAUUUUGAACCGCAUGGUUCGAAAUUGAAAGGCGGCUUCGGCUGUCACUUAUGGAUGGACCCGCGUCGCAUUAGCUAGUUGGUGAGGUAACGGCUCACCAAGGCAACGAUGCGUAGCCGACCUGAGAGGGUGAUCGGCCACACUGGGACUGAGACACGGCCCAGACUCCUACAGGAGGCAGCAGUAGGGAAUCUUCCGCAAUGGACGAAGGUCUGACGGAGCAACGCCGCGUGAGUGAUGAAGGCCUUCGGGUCGUAAAACUCUGUUGUUAGGGAAGAACAAGUGCUAGUUGAAUAAGCUGGCACCUUGACGGUACCUAACCAGAAAGCCACGGCUAACUACGUGCCAGCAGCCGCCGCGG